rnacentral:lncRNA from 12 species
AUGGGGUUGGAAUGGUGGCUGUUUCAGGAGACUCGACUGAUCCCACCUGAAAUCUGCUUAAAUGCCUCCAGCUCCCUUUGGAUCCAAAUUCGACUUUUGUGUCCUCUCUGGCUCCUCAGCCUGGAACCGCAGAGACCUCACUUCAGAUACCUGCCUCCAAUUCCUUUGUUUCUGCUCUCUCAUCAUCACUGUUUUCUUGCCCAUCUCCACUCUCACCUUAAAACUGAAUUCGUGAACUAGAUCCCUAAAUUGAAGAUGGAUCCAGCGUGGGGAGGCCUUUCAGAAUUUACUGAGAAGUAGCGUUAGCACAAACAUCACGGAGACACCUCUUUUCCUGGUGAGUCUUUGGCUUUUAAAAUUACCAUUCCUGCUUUAUAGAAGUCGGGUGGAGAGAGGUUAAGUCAGUCAGUUUGUAGGCGAAUACAGCUGAACUUAAAUCCACAGUUUCUGACUGUGGGUUCCAUGCCUUUUCAACGAAUCCACCAGCCUCUCGUGGAGGCAGUAAAUACCUGUACUUGAAAUAUAAUUCAUGUAAGUAUGCGAAAUGACCCAUUUUCUCAUCAAUCCAGCUACCACUUCCCAAAUAUUUGAAUCCCCAAGCCCUAGGUACUUUCUCCAAUGCUCUUCGGUCCCACCAUAGAUCUCAUAACCAGCAACGCACCAUUUUUAAGUAUUCACCAGUGCACGUAGCCAAAAGACUCCUCAGUCUUUGGCUUGGAUCCCUUUCAGUCCUUGGCUGCACGUUAGAAUCAUCUGGGGAGCUUCAAAAAUUAUAGAUGCCUGGGUGCCACCUCAGUUCAGUCAGAACCUUUGGGCUUUGCAGCUUUUGAAAAGCUUCUUGGUGGUUCAGAUACAAAGUACAUGUCAUAUAACUACAGUUUUGGAAUAUCCAGGUAACCAUAUCGAUGUCCCAUCAUCUAACCCACAGAGGUUAUUCCUACCUCCCUCACCUGCAAACCCUGAAUUCUCUCCACAGUAUUAAACUCACAGUCCUCUUACAUUUACAUCUUUUGGAACCCUGACCCUCCUAAGCCAGUAUCAGGAACUCUUUACAAGUAUAUCCUCAUUUCUAAGGCCAAAGGAAACCUGACCCAGUGCCAUUGGGCCUCUCAGGCCUUACCACCUGAAAUUCUCAGAGGUUAUGCCAGGCUCCAUCACAGGAUAAGCAUAGAGCUCCUUCUCCAGGCUUUUAAGCACUCACACUGAAGGCCUGUAGCUCUCACUUCCAUCCUUCCUCCAUCAAUGUUUCUAAAGGACCCAGGGCCUGAUAUCAGAAUGCAUCAAUUAUUAAUUGGAAAAAUCUUCUACUUCUAAUCCCUUCAGUAUGCUAUUUAUUCAUCCUGUCCUUUCUCCUUUUUUUUUUUUUCCUAGUCAUUCAAUAUUUCCUAUUUUUUGGACAUCUUUUGUCUGCUAGGCUUAGGUAUACAAUGAUCCUUUUUUCCUUAAGGAAGCCACAAUUACUACCUCUAAGUAAUUCAUAUUCAAUUUAUGCUCCAGAUUUAGUUCUUAAGACUGACUUUGCUGUUAAUUUUUCUUUGCCAGAAUUAUUCUUUACAACAACAUGCAAUAAGUGAGGGGUCCCCUACUUUUCCGCUUCUUGUAAUCAAAAUAUGAUUUUCCUUGGACACAUUCCCAAAGAUGUGAUUCUGUUAUUCAGAAGAAUCAUCUAUGCAACUAGAAGCCUGUGCCCCAGCAAAGGAAAUAAUAUAGAUUAAAAAAAAAUUUUUUUGAAAACCUACCAACUGAAUAAUUAGGCAUGUAAAAAGUUCCACAUUGUUUAGUGUAAUAAGCAUAAAUCCACAUGAUUAAUGGCUAUUAAUAUCUCAAGGAAAGCACUUAUUAGAGCUCUAGGUGGGUCUUUUUAUUCCUCAUUCAGCAGGACUGUCUUGCAUUGCAGGAUGCUUAAUUAUUCUGGCCCUGCCCAGUAAACGCCUGUAGUGUUUACUAGUCAUUGUGAAAACAAAAACUUCCUGUCAUGAAUCCAAGUAUCCUAAGGAAUAAAAACCACCCUUGAUUGAGAAUCA